rnacentral:rRNA from 1 species
UACGAAGGGGCUAGCGUUGUUCGGAAUCACUGGGCGUAAAGGGCGCGUAGGCGGCUUUAUAAGUCGGGGUGAAAGCCUGUGGCUCAACCACAGAAUUGCCUUCGAUACUGUAGAGCUUGAGACCGGAAGAGGUAAGUGGAACUGCGAGUGUAGAGGUGAAAUUCGUAGAUAUUCGCAAGAACACCAGUGGCGAAGGCGGCUUACUGGUCCGGUUCUGACGCUGAGGCGGCGAAAGCGUGGGGAGCCAAACAGG